rnacentral:tRNA from 1 species
GUUUAAAUAGUUUAAGAUAAAAACAAUAGUCUUGUAAACUAUAAUUGGUAAAACCUUUAAACU